GCAUCGAUGGUUCAAUGGUAGAAUGCUCGUUUUCCCAAAGGAGAGACCCGGGUUCGAUUCCCGGACGGUGCA